rnacentral:rRNA from 1 species
AGUUUUAAGUGAAGAGUUUGAUCCUGGCUCAGAGUGAACGCUGGCGGUAGGCCUAACACAUGCAAGUCGAACGGCAGCACAGAGGAGCUUGCUCCUUGGGUGGCGAGUGGCGGACGGGUGAGGAAUACAUCGGAAUCUACUCUGUCGUGGGGGAUAACGUAGGGAAACUUACGCUAAUACCGCAUACGACCUACGGGUGAAAGCAGGGGAUCUUCGGACCUUGCGCGAUUGAAUGAGCCGAUGUCGGAUUAGCUAGUUGGCGGGGUAAAGGCCCACCAAGGCGACGAUCCGUAGCUGGUCUGAGAGGAUGAUCAGCCACACUGGAACUGAGACACGGUCCAGACUCCUACGGGAGGCAGCAGUGGGGAAUAUUGGACAAUGGGCGCAAGCCUGAUCCAGCCAUACCGCGUGGGUGAAGAAGGCCUUCGGGUUGUAAAGCCCUUUUGUUGGGAAAGAAAUCCAUCUGGUUAAUACCCGGGUGGGAUGACGGUACCCAAAGAAUAAGCACCGGCUAACUUCGUGCCAGCAGCCGCGGUAAUACGAAGGGUGCAAGCGUUACUCGGAAUUACUGGGCGUAAAGCGUGCGUAGGUGGUCGUUUAAGUCCGUUGUGAAAGCCCUGGGCUCAACCUGGGAACUGCAG